ACCCUCCCACACAGUACAGUAACUUAUAUACAUACCUGGAGGAAGGAAUGCUUUGCUUUGGGCUUCUUAAAAAUAUUUGGUGAUGGCUGCACCCUCCAACAUGCUCAUAGGACCGGACACUGAUGCACCCACAAAGGCGGGCCUAGACGAGCAUCUGCUAAAGGCUACUCGGAGGUUCAGGAUUCUAGUCAAUGGAACAAGAGGAAGACUCCAGUGCCUGUAAGACCAGAAUGGUAUUACUGGAGGGGGCCCUCAACAGAUUCCUCUAUCACCCAGCUUCUCCACUUUUGCUCCCUGCAAUGCAUAAGAUGAGCACUCAUGUCAAAUGCAGAAUGGGAAGAGCUAGCAUGCAGGGCACGAAGCACAGGAAUCAGCAUGAGUCUGCCCAGCCAUAGCAGAAGAAUCUGCCCAAGUGCUUGCUAGAUGGAGUGGCCACUCUCUUCUGCCACAUGCAGUCCAUCAGAGACCAGAAGGGAGGUAGCAGGGUCUGUUGAUAUAAACAUGAAGGAGCAUUUUGUGUACCAGAGGGUUUUGUACUAGUGCCCAUCAAAAUCAUUGUCUAUGUCCCAGUUAUUUAGAUUGGCAUAUGCAACUGUGUGUCUUGCAUGUGCCUAGCACUCUGCAGGUAAUAUGACAGGUUAGAAUGAAUCAGCUAGUGGCAAUACAUUGCUGAUGGCUUUGAAAAUGUAUCUCCAGGACUAUGUGGUCUAGGGUGACCACCCAACCUUUAUUUUAAGAUGUAUUGAAAUGUAUUAAAACUGAUAAUGUGCCAUUUUAAACAUUAAAUUAAUACUUAUGAUGAUUGUAUUGUAUACUUGAGGGCAGUAGAAAUGCACACUUGAGAGAAAAAUACAUGAUAUGCUAAGGGAAAUGGUGUUUCCCUAAAACGUCCCUUAGACUGUACUUUAUGUAUCAUGUGGUUUUCUCUUAUUCCCAUCUGACAAAGGUGGUCACCCUAUGCAGUCCUUAUUUUGUGAUAGGUUUAGGAAUGCAAAGGCAUGAAUGAAGAAUCCAAUGCACAUAUAGAGAAUGCGUUAUUAUGCAUCCCAUUAUUACAUCAGUAUUUUUAUGUGUGUAUAAAAUAGAUAUAAUAUUAUGAUUAAAAUUAUGGGAAAGGAUCAGAUUUUAACUGAAUGAAGCAAGAUAAUUCAAAGUGUAAGUCACUCAUUUGUGCCCGGAGCUGAUAUAGUUUGUGUUCUGUCAGGUCAUCCAUUAUGCCCCGGGCUCCUAAUACCAGGCUUUACUACUAGGUUGAAAUACUUAAGUGUGAUGGGAGAGAUGGAGGGGGAGGGGCCAAGUUGUGAAGUUGACCCCACCUGGUAAUUCUAAACUCAGAGAGUGUGCAGGAUCAGGCACAUAGUACUGUGACCGACAACAUUCUCUUAAAGCAACCAUGUCAACCUCUUUUAAAUCCAACAUUUUGUUUAGUUUUAAAACAAAAAGAGUGUCUGCAGAAGGGCUACAUGCUCUGACAGGAAAAGGCAUGUUCUCCUGAUUUAAAAAAAAAGAAAUUAAAACCAUUUCUUUUUCAUAUUAAAAUGUUUAUGUGUGAUGUUAGAAAGCCAAACGCAACAGAUUUGUACUUGUAGAUGAUGGUGAGGAGGUGAAAAUAGCUAAACAGUGAAAAUGACCGGCUGAUUUUCACUGGCCAAGCUGAGUGAAAUGGGACAAGUAAAAUAAAUAACAUACGGGGUGAGAUAUCACAUUAGAUUUAUUUAAUACUUUCAGUUUUGAUCAUCUAAGAUACUAUUAGCCACAAAGGU